UACGAAGGGGGCUAGCGUUGUUCGGAAUUACUGGGCGUAAAGCGCACGUAGGCGGAUUGGUCAGUUAGGGGUGAAAUCCCAGGGCUCAACCCUGGAACUGCCUUUAAUACUGCCAAUCUAGAGUCCGAGAGAGGUGAGUGGAAUUCCGAGUGUAGAGGUGAAAUUCGUAGAUAUUCGCAAGAACACCAGUGGCGAAGGCGGCUCACUGGCCCGGUACUGACGCUGAGGUGCGAAAGCGUGGGGAGCAAACAGG
rnacentral:rRNA from 1 species